AGCUUUGCGCAGUGGCAGUAUUGUAGCCAAAGAGGUUUAUCUGAGGCGCGAUUAUUGCUAAUUGAAAACUUUUCCCAAUACCCUGCCGUGACGACUUGAAAUAUAGUCGGCGUUGGCAAUUUUUGACAGUCUCUACGGAGC
ensembl:snRNA U4 U4 spliceosomal RNA